UACGUAGGGUGCAAGCGUUAAUCGGAAUUACUGGGCGUAAAGCGUGCGCAGGCGGUUUUGGAAGUCAGAUGUGAAAUCCCCGGGCUUAACCUGGGAACUGCGUUUGAAACUACAAGGCUAGAGUGUGGCAGAGGGGGGUGGAAUUCCACGUGUAGCAGUGAAAUGCGUAGAGAUGUGGAGGAACACCGAUGGCGAAGGCAGCCCCCUGGGUUAACACUGACGCUCAGGCACGAAAGCGUGGAGAGCAAACAGG
rnacentral:rRNA from 1 species